GAAUCGCAACUUCUAACGCAGACUCAUUACCGAGUCUUUUGGUUUCUGAGUGAAUUAACUUAAAGAGCGGGUCAAUUGAGCCUCGGAGUCCUUCUCCACCCACGUAUCAAUUUUAAAAAAUGCAACAUUAGUAGGCGUUGCCUGGAGGACCGAGAGGGCGGAGCCGCGGCAGUGACGAAGACGAUGGCUAACUAGACGAAGCUAGCUCCCUUCACUCUGAGCAGUUGAUAGAAGUGGAGGACGUUUCUCCCCCUCCUUACAGACACUCGAGAAGAAAGGGACCAAGUCUAUUUGGAGGAGACAAGCGGACCUGAGUCUUAUUGUUUUGAGCUUGUGAGUUGCCUGAAACUCCCAGAACCGACCCAACAGAAUCACCUCUGAAAGGUCCUCUGGUGUCUGCAGCUGGUCUCUGGUGUCUGCAGCUGGUCUCCUCUGCUGGUGUCCUCAGGAUCAGGAACUUCCAGAAGAAUGUGCCUUUCAAUGACUCUUUCCCCCUUAUUUGUUAUAUUAAUUAAAUAAAUCUCAAUUUAUAUA